CACGAAUGGCACCCGACAGGGAUGCCCUUUGUCACCUCUGUUGUAUGUACUGGCCUUGGAGCCGCUACUAGUUGCCAUUAGAUCACACCCAGACAUAAAAGGCAUCACCUGGCAAGACCAGCACAUCAAAAUCAGCGCAUUCGCUGACGAUAUCCUACUAUAUGUCUGCCAACCAGAUAAGUCCCUCCCUCACAUCAUGAAGCUCAUUGACAAAUAUGGGAAACUCUCCUACUAUUCCCUAAACGCAACUAAAACCCAGGCAUUGGGGCUGCGCUUGGACCCACAGGUCCUAGCGCAACUACGCAAAGAUUACCAAUUCGAGUGGAGAAAAAAUGAUAUAAAAUACCUAGGCCUGACGUUCACUAGGAAAUCCUCUGACAUGUUCCCUACCAAUUAUACCAGAGUCUGGACUGAAUGCUUGGCCCUGUUACGGGGUUGGGGCAAACUGUUCCUUACCUGGACGGAGCGCAUUGUCGCAAUUAAAAUGACCGUAUUACCGAAACUACAAUAUGUGUUUAGGAACCUCCCCUUGAAAGUUCCACAAUCCUAUUUUAAAACCAUACAGUCUACGCUCCUCCAGUUUAUCUGGGGCAAGGGACGGGCAAGGGUCUCCAACAAACUAUUGUCGGCACCCAUAGGGCGUGGAGGUAUGGCAUUCCCGAACGUAAAACACUACUACCAGGCUGCGGUCCUAGCGCCCCUAUUGAACCACCUAACUAAAGAUAACCGACCACAAUGGGUGACCCUAGAAAACCUAGCUAUUAAACCUUUCCUAGUCGCCAACCUGCUAUGGCUACCUAACAAGAGCAGACCACAUAUUCCGCUGAUACCGUUACAACUUCACCUAGCACUGCAAACUUGGGACUUACAUAGAACGAAAUUCGAAACGGCCCACCCCCUCUCAAUGGCGACACCCAUCGAGGCCAUCACGUAUUGCAUCCCCACCUUCCAU